UACCCUCCACCAUUAAUCUUCCUUUGUCUCCCAUCAAUAUGAAUGGAUUUUAAGGGUUCGAAUGUUUCGGUUAAUUUCGUAUUCUUCAAUGGAUAAUCCCCAAAAGAAAUUAACGAACCACCAAAAACCCUAGAAAUUCAGGAGAAGCAGGAGUUUGAUUCCUAUAUAUACCUUAAUCUUGGGAAAGAUUGGAAGUUUGGAUUUGAAGAAACUCGCCAUGUCGAAGAGGAUUCUUUGCAAGUUUUUUGUGCAUGGAGCAUGUUUGAAAGGGGAGCACUGUGAAUUCUCUCAUGACUGGAAGGAUCAAUCAAAUAAUGUAUGCACCUUCUAUCAGAGAGGAGUGUGCUCUUAUGGUAGUCGAUGCAGGUAUGAUCAUGUUAAAGUUUCUCGUCAGCAGAAUUCUGUUUCAUCAGCAUCAACAGAUUCUCACCAGCACCCAGCUCCAGAUUCUGUUCAAGUGGUUCAUCCUAGAACUGCUUUGAGUGGGGAAACAACUAAUGUCCUUAGUGUUCCUGCAGAGCUAUCAGCUUUGAGUAGACCUUUCUUUCCUCCCAGCAUACCAGCAUGGAGUUGUGAUACUGAAGAUCAUAGCUUCUCUGAUGAUGAGAAUGAUGGGGAGUCUACAAUCACUCAACCUUCUGACCGGCCUAUAUGUUCAUUUGCUGCUGCUGGUAGUUGUCCUCGUGGGGAGAGAUGCCCACAAAUUCAUGGGGACUUAUGUGCCACUUGUGGAAAACAUUGCUUGCAUCCAUAUAGGCCUGAUGAAAGAGAGGAGCACAUAAGAUCAUGUGAAAGAAAUAAAAAACACCUUGAGGCGUUGAAACAUAGUCAAGAAAUAGAGUGCAGUGUGUGUUUAGAUCGUGUGCUUUCAAAGCCCACUGCUGCUGAACGGAAGUUUGGGUUGCUAUCAGACUGUGAUCAUCCCUUCUGCGUAUCCUGUAUCAGAAAUUGGCGCAGCAGUUCCCCGUCCGCUGGCAUGGAUGUUAAUACUGCACUGAGGGCCUGCCCAAUAUGUCGCAAACUAUCAUACUUUGUUAUUCCGAGUGUGAUUUGGUAUUCUAAAAAGGAAGAAAAGCAGGAGAUCAUUGACAGCUAUAAAGCAAGACUCAGGUCUAUUGAUUGCAGGUACUUCGACUUCGGAAAUGGGACAUGCCCCUUUGGGACUAGUUGUUUCUACAAGCAUGCCUAUCGUGAUGGUCGCCUGGAAGAAGUUGUUCUGCGGCAUCUUGGAUCUGAAGAUGGAAACAGUGUAAUUGCUAAAGACAUAAGGCUUUCUGAAUUCCUUGGUAAUUUGCAUCUAAGGUGAUCAGAACUGGCUGGGAAAGCUUCCAAGGAUAUUCACUUUGGUUAGAAUGAAUUCCAUUGAAGUCUUAAAAAGCUGCUUUUUCUGACUUGUCUCCAUAUGGUGACUCAUUCUGAAGUUGGUUGCUGGGGACCCAAAAGCUGGACUUAAACGGGAAUGUAUUAAUAAACAGCUUUCACUAUGAACUAAGGUGGUUAGGGAAGAAAUGGAUGAAACAAAAUGGAUUAUUAUGCUGAGGCUUGAAGAUUUUUGAGAAUUUCCUUUUGGAGCAUUGUCUCAUGGAUCCCCAAUGGUAGCAUCCUUGAAAGGGUUCACAAUAAUGUGCAAUGAAUAGUUGUGCAUGUACGUGGCGAUCUCCAGACCGUCAUUUUUACAUUAAGACUCAAUAUAUAUAUAUAUAUAUAUAUGGGUUUAGCUAUUAAAUUUGUCAAUAUGAUGAGAUUUUAUAGGAAAAUAUCUUUGGAAGUUUGUAUGUUCAUGAAUUAUUCCAGAGGAACAAUACUAUGGCAUUAGUUAUGCAGGCAUGAAGUUGUGCUUUGCAGAGCAGAAGUAACAGAUUUUCUGUUUUUCUUUUUUUAAAAAAUUAAUUAGUAACUGGAAAUUCUUUGCAUAACGUUUCUAAUGGGAGUUGAAGAUUAGUUGUGGUU